UACGUAGGGCGCAAGCGUUAUCCGGAAUUAUUGGGCGUAAAGAGCUCGUAGGCGGUCUGUCGCGUCUGCUGUGAAAUCCCGAGGCUCAACCUCGGGCCUGCAGUGGGUACGGGCAGACUAGAGUGCGGUAGGGGAGAUUGGAAUUCCUGGUGUAGCGGUGGAAUGCGCAGAUAUCGGGAGGAACACCGAUGGCGAAGGCAGAUCUCUGGGCCGUAACUGACGCUGAGGAGCGAAAGCAUGGGGAGCGAACAGG
rnacentral:rRNA from 1 species